UCGCCUGUUUAUCAAAAACAUUGCCUGUAGGCUAAGUAAUUACAGGUAUGUCCUGCCCAGUGAUAUAGUAGUUAAACGGCCGCAGUAGCCUGACUGUGCAAAGGUAGCAUAAUGAUUUGCCCUUUAAUUUGGGGCUUGUAUGAAAGGAUGGAUAGGAUGAGAGCUGUCUUUUUUGUUUCUUUAAAAAUUGAUUUCCAGGUGCAGAGGCUUGGAUUUAGAUGUAGGACAAGAAGACCCUAUUGAGCUUUAUUUAAUAAAGUCUGUGUUUGGGUGGGUGUUAAGUUUGGUUGGGGCGACAGAGGAAUAUUCAGAACUUCCUUUAUAGUUUUGACUCUCUUGUCUUUGGUUAGCCAAUUUUUAAAUUGAUUGGAGAAGUAAGCUACCAUAGGGAUAACAGGCUAAUUUUCUUUGAGAGUUCUCAUUGACAAGAAAGUUUGGCACCUCGAUGUUGGCUUAGGGCAUCCUAAUUAGUGCAGAAGCUAUUGAUGGUGGGUUUGUUCAACCUUUAAAGCCCUACGUGAUCUGAGUUCAGACCGGA
rnacentral:rRNA from 1 species